GUGAUCAUUGGAACCGCCUUCCUGUGUGGCGUCAACAAUAUCUAUGUCCCAUAUAUGAUUUCCCCUAAUCUUGGAAGAGGAAUUUUUAGACGGAUCUGCUGCUGCUGCUUCAACUGUAACUCCGCUCCUGACUACCCUCCACUUGCAUCUAUGAAGGAUGAUGGGGGUCCAGGGGAGAACCGCGCUCCCUAAAGACAGCAGGUCAUCCGCGCUUUGGUUCAGCGCUACAUCGAAUCAGCCAGGA